AUCAUCCCUAGCUAAAUAAAGCAUGACAUCAGCCAGAAUGUGGAAAUAAAGGAAGACUGUGAAAAAGAAAGAAAAAGGCAAGCCAGUUGGAUUAUGAAGGGAGGAGAAAAGACAAGACAGGAAAAGAGAUGCAAGUAUGAAACCAUGAUACACGUACAUAUAUGUAACGUGCUUACCUCUCUACAAAGUGUGAUGCAGUAAACAAGGAGAACUCCCAGGGUGGAUCCAGUUAAAAAGAAAACCCAAGUAUAUUGCCUGACUGUCAAGUGAGUCUCCUAGAUGGUGCCAGGGCUUGAACCCAGACCAUGCAUAUGGCAAUGCAGACACUCUACCUGGUACACUACGUCUUUAUCCUUUAGCUCCAUCCUGAUGUUACUGGUUUGGACUAUUAUU